rnacentral:rRNA from 1 species
AGCGAACGCUGGCGGCAUGCCUAACACAUGCAAGUCGCACGGGGGGGCUUCGGCCUCCCAGUGGCGGACGGGUGAGGAACGCGUAGGGACCUGUCGAGGGGUGGGGGAUAACCGCGGGAAACUGCGGCUAAUACCGCAUGACGCCGCGGCGUGACAGCCGGGGCCAAAGGCGAAAGCCGCCCGCCGAGGGGCCUGCGUCCGAUUAGCUGGUUGGCGGGGUAGCGGCCCACCCAGGCGUCGAUCGGUAGCUGGUCUGAGAGGGUGAUCAGCCACACCGGGACUGAGCCACGGCCCGGACUCCUACGGGAGGCAGCAGUGGGGAAUAUUGGACAAUGGGCGCAAGCCUGAUCCAGCAAUGCCGCGUGGGUGAAGAAGGUCUUCGGAUUGUAAAGCCCUUUCGGCGGGGACGAUGGUGACGGUACCCGCAGAAGAAGCCCCGGCUAACUUCGUG